GGCCCUGUGAGAAUGCCCUAGUUUCCCCGCCAUCGGGGGAGAGGAGCUGAUAUCAGGCACAACCUUACGUUAGCCUACGACGUCUUGUUCGGCCACACCCCCAAGGGAAUCCAGCAGUAAUAAAUAUUAAGCUAUAAGUGCAAACUUGCCUCAGUUAUUAUUAAGAGAGCCGGUCAACCUCGUGCCAGCCGCCGCGGUUAUACGAGCGGGCCCAAACUGAUAGAACGCGGCGUAGAAGGUGGUUAAUAGAAACGUUACUAAAGCCAAACACCUUUAUAGCUGUUAUAAGCUAAUGAAGAAAGGAAGUCCCCUCACGAAAGUAGCUUUAAAACUUAUGAACCCACGAAAGCUAGGGUACAAACUGGGAUUAGAGACCUCACUAUGCCUAGCCGUAAACAAAAACAAUUACUUUACCCCCAUUGUUCGCCAGGGAACUACGAGCCUAAGCUUAAAACCCAAAGGACUUGGCGGUGCUUUAGACCCCCCUAGAGGAGCCUGUUCUAGAACCGAUAAUCCCCGUUCAACCUCACCCCCUUUUGUACCAUAACAGCCUGUAUACCUCCGUCGUCAGCUCACCCUUUGAGGGACAAAUAGUGAGCAAAACUGGUAAAGCCUAAAACGUCAGGUCGAGGUGCAGCAUACGAGGGGGGAAGAAAUGGGCUACAUUUUCUGAUCCAGCAAAUACGAACGUUGUGCUGAAAAAACAUCUGAAGGAGGAUUUAGCAGUAAGGGGAGAGUAGAGCGCCCCCCUGAAAACGGCCCUGAAGCGCGCACACACCGCCCGUCACUCUCCCCAAAAAUUCGAGACCAAUAACUAAUAAGAUAAAUGUAUAUAAUAGAGGGGAGGCAAGUCGUAACAUGGUAAGUGUACUGGAAAGUGUACUUGGAUAAACU
rnacentral:ncRNA from 1 species